CGUCCAACCUCCCCAAUCCAUUUUUUUUCCUUCGGUCUUAUCCCAUUCAGCUUCGAAUAGAUCGUGGGCCAUUCCGUUUCCCGAUUUGUGGCGAUGCACAGCCUCCCGCCGGCGACCCUCCCGUAUCGCCCCGGCGAGCUUCAGACGUCCGCGGCGGGCUCCGGUUCACCCCCUCUUGCCGCGCCGCCGAGAGCCUCCCGCCGGCGCGCCACAUCCUCCCACUGGCGCCCCGGCAAGACCCUGCGCCGUCGGCGACCCUCCUGGCGAUGCGUUGCUUUUCCGUCCCGUGCCUCCCCGGUGAGCUGCAGGCAUCCGUGCAGCGUGGUCACAACAACGCUCUGUUGAAGAUACGUUGCCGGCGGCGCAAGGUGUCGUUCUUGCCCUCCGUCGCAGAUCCCCUGCGCCCCGACACCACAGCCUCCACCACACCAUUGUGCUUGGCCGCUACCGAUUCCGUCGAUGUUCGCCAUCUGUGAGCCCACAUCCGUCUUUCCCAUUAUCUUCUCUCUUCACUCGCCCCCUUUAAAUAUCUCACCAGGUGAUUUCUUUUGAUCUGUUGCCUUAUAUUAAUAUAUGUUCCAAGAAAUCCGGAUUGGGUGAGAUCUCAUCCAAUUGGCUGCUGUUCCAGUCCCUAACGUGAUGAGUUUGUGACUCUCAUUGAUGGCGGGAUCCAUCCUGAUGCGUGGUCACCCAUCCCUGGCUGGCGAGCUGGUGGCAUGGCUGACGAGCUGGUGGCCAUGAGCAGAUGCACAACGAUGUGCAACAACACAGAAACACCGAAUCAAGCAUCCAGCAGAGAGGACAAGUGCCUUGCCCCUGCCCUCUGGUGCCUUGCCCCUUUGUGCUUUCUUCUAUGUGCUUUCUUCUAUUAUCAACUGGUGCAUUGUAUUCUCUUUGUGAAACUCCACUGGUGCAUUUGUUCAGGAGGGGAUUUUUUUGUUUGCUAAUUAAUCUCCGAGUCCAACGUAUGUGGAUAGUUGUAGAUAACAUCUCUCGGCAGAGUUAUGAUUACUAGAUUAGCUAGAAAAUUAUUUGGCAGAUUUUGCUGAAUUUAUUGAUUGAUAGUUCAGUUUAUUUUAGCAGACAAUUUGCAAAUUAUUACAGCGUCAGUGUGCUUGUGAGCUUCUACCUGCUAGCCUGCUACUGCCUGUGUGGUUUUGGCCGGUGGCCACUGCAUUCAGUACACUAGAACAUGCUUGGUGAUCAACACUAGGUGUUAUGUGCUUUUGAAAUAUAUAUAAUGUCUCAUGGAUUGUGAUUUUUGAUUGGCCAUAUGAUUUUUAGGAGUUAUCCACCUAUUUAGUUUAGUAUAACUGCUUUAUAUAAUACCUGCCUGCGCCUAGACAGAGCAUGCAGCUGUUUUUCGUGGUUCUAUUGUGGAUCUGUGCAACUAAUGAUGCAUGAUUAGCUCUAUGUUUUGGUGGAUUAAUCAGAUGCAUAAUUUAUCAAAAAUAUUCAACUUUCGUCGGUUAUAUCAUUGAGAUAUAAAAGCUGCCUUGCCAUGGCCAUUUUAGUUCAGUCAAAAUAAUUUGUGUCCAUUGCCUUCCUGAUCUAGACUGCUCUUAGUUCACAGGCUACAAAUGAAGAUUAAAACUGUUAUUUUGGAUGACUUAAAAUCACACUAGUAAUGAAGAUGGUUUUCUAUACAAUGUAAGGUUCUUUUGCCAUACAGAUAUACUUUCUCCUAUUUUUGUGUUACUGCAUACAAUUUUCUAUCUGCAGACCAUUUAAUUUCCGUUGGUUGAUUUACCUGGGUGCUUCUGAUGAUUUGUCCAGGUUGCAGUUCAAAUUAGGUCGUAGGUUGUUACAAUUGGUAGCUGCAUCACUCUUUUCCCUGUUUCAUUAUUUUAUAGUUCCGUUUCUUAUGAUUUGUUAAGGUUGUAGUUCAAAGAGGUGCCCCUCUUUUCUUACCUUCAUUCGAUCCCCCAUUUGUUUCUUGAUUGACUGUGUUGGUGGCGAUGGUGUGUAAUAAUAAAAACCAUUAGGUUGGAGAGUUUAAUCGAGUACCUGCUGGUGUUUUCAGUCAGAUAGCAUUCUAUGCCCCUGCUGCUGCUUGAUGGCCCGCGUUGGUGGAGGCGGUUAGUGGGGACGAUUUGCAAUAAUGGAGAGCAUCUUUAACACCGUUCGGCUGGCUGGAUGGCUGCUGGACGGCUGCCUCUGGCUGAAACGGGUCCAGCCGAGAGCAGCCCAGAGUAUAGCAGCCGAACAUAGUUUUUGGCGACCAUCAAUAUGUCAUGGCAUGUUGGUCGUAUGAGCAGUUGUAUGCCACGUAUCAGCUCAAACUGGACUUCAUCUCCGAAGAAAGGAAUACCCCCUGCACUGAGUUACUAUUGGGGCUAGCAUUUAGUGAAGAAUUAUUGAAGAUUGAUAUUGACUGCAGCAGCGACACACCUGCAUAGCAUCUCAUGAUCCUAAGUAUUCUAUGACAUCAAACAUUGUUUUUGUAAUUAUGUAGCGCUUUGACUUCGUGGCUUGUAUUUUCUGAAGUUGCUUGGGUGUGGUUAGGUGUACAGCAGUUUGUAAAUUUUCGCUUGCGCAGUCGGACCAUGUCUGUUCAAGUAAUUCUUUCGAGUAUACUAGCAAUUAUGUUUGUGUGUU